rnacentral:lncRNA from 1 species
GUGCCAAGGAGUUCAAGGCUCCUUCCCACUGUCUUUUCUAUUAGAUUCAGUGUAUCUGGUUUUAUGUUGAGGUCCUUGAUCCAGCUGCUAAAGUGCUUGUUAUACAAGCAUGAUUACCUGAGUUUGGAUACACAUACUCAAGGAAAAGCUGGUUUUGUCAUGAAUCUAGGGUAAAGCUAGCACUGGGCAGGUAAAUGUGGGAGAGGAUGGCAGGAAAGCCAAAUAUCCUGAGCUUACUGGACAAUCAGGAUAGCCAGCCAGUCAGUGAGCUCUGGUUCCAUAAGAGAGACCUUGCCCGAAAAAAUAAGGUAGAAUGUGGUAGAGUGGCCAUGUCUUAAAUCACAGUGCUCAGGAAGAAGAGGCAGAUGGAUCUUUUGUGAGUUCUAGGUCAACCUGGUCUACAUAGUUCCAGGUCAGCCAGGGCUAUAUAGAGAUAUCCUGUCUCAGAAAACAAAAAAGCAAAACAAAAUAAAAUCUGAUGGGCAGAAAUAAGCCUAAUAUUGAUUCCUGUCUUAUUAAUUAAUUAAUUAAUAUUGAUUCCUGUCUUCUAUAGCACCUGUAUACAUAUACACAUCCACUCACACACCCUGCACACAUACACAGCAAAUAUUUUGUACUGAAAAUUAUUUUAUGAUGGGCAGAAAUAAGCCUAAUAUUGAUUCCUGUCUUAUUAAUUAAUUAAUUAAUAUUGAUUCCUGUCUUCUAUAGCACCUGUAUACAUAUACACAUUCACUCACACACCCUGCACACAUACACAGCAAAUAUUUUGUACUGAAAAUUAUUUUAUGUGUAUAAGUAUUUUGCUUGUAUGUACAUAUGUGUGCCACAUGUGUGCUUGAUUGACCAAGAAGUUUACAAGAAGAUGUCAAAAUAUUUGGAACUGGAAUUAUGAUGGUUGUGAGCCAUUACAUGGGCAAUCAGAACUGAAACCUUAUCCUCUGCAAGAACAAGUUUUUAACCACUGAUCACCAGUCCCCCUUUUUAUUCAUUUUUUAAAUAAUUCAGUCAGGUGUUGAUGGUACAUGCUUGGAACCCCAGCACUCAGGAGUUUAAACCAGUCUAGGCUACAAAGUGAGCCCCUGUCAUAAAUAAACAGGAUAGUAUUGACUUCUGUGGUAAGAGUAAAAACAAAGAGUCAUCUCUAUCUCAAAGUAUAAUAUUCAUAUUUAAAAAUAUAUUUCUGGAACAUAUGUACUCGGAGUAUUCCUCAAAUUUAAGGAGUGCUCCUAUCCUUUAGUCUUUCUAUUCAUUAGAUUGUGAAGUCUAGAAAAGCAUGUGUGUAGUUACAUACAUACAUACAUACAUACAUACAUACAUACAUACAAACAUAUGUGUAUGUGAUAGCUGUCUGUGAUUCUGGUGAGAACUCAUGACCUUUUACAGGCUAGACAAGCUCUCUAGAGUUAAAUACUCACUUGGAAGCAUGCAUUGAAAAGAUACCAUUUGUUACCCUUUUAUCUAUUUUAGGUAGAGGAAUUAUGGAUUAGUGAUAUGCUUAAAUUCUACUUUAGUCAUUAUUAGGAUUGCCUAUGUAUUUUCUUUGCAUUUCUUUAUAUUGAUUGCAUAUUUCUAACUUUCAUUAAAGUUUUUUUUUUUUUUACUUAGCUUUUCAAUAUAAGUCGUUUUCUCUCAUAAAUCUUACAUGUUGAAUAUAUUAUUCUGCUUUCUAGGUUAAAGAAGAGAUGCUAUUUGAAGCAUUAGUUACAAGGAAGACGGUGACAGUGGGAGAAAAGCUUAUUUUACCAUAUAAACUGGCAGAGGUAUGAUUUUCUUGUGCACAAAGUAUUUUGAAUAUUCUAGAAUAGAGUUUCUAGGGGGUUUUCCUUUCCCCUUUUUAAAAGUGAAGCUGACAUUAGGUAAAAUGUAUUAAUUAAAAUAUUUUCUAGGAAAACUGAAUUUCCCAUACAUUUGAAAGCUUAAAAUUUUGCGUGGCUUUAUAUUUACUUACAUAUUAAAAUGUAAUAAGACAAAACAAAAAUUGUCACAUUGAAGUGACAAGCCAGCAGCAAGAAAAGAG